rnacentral:rRNA from 1 species
UCCAACUUGAGAGUUUGAUCCUGGCUCAGAGCGAACGCUGGCGGCAGGCUUAACACAUGCAAGUCGAACGGGCAUAGCAAUAUGUCAGUGGCAGACGGGUGAGUAACGCGUGGGAACAUACCUUUUGGUUCGGAACAACUGAGGGAAACUUCAGCUAAUACCGGAUAAGCCCUUACGGGGAAAGAUUUAUCGCCGAAAGAUUGGCCCGCGUCUGAUUAGCUAGUUGGUGAGGUAAUGGCUCACCAAGGCGACGAUCAGUAGCUGGUCUGAGAGGAUGAUCAGCCACAUUGGGACUGAGACACGGCCCAAACUCCUACGGGAGGCAGCAGUGGGGAAUAUUGGACAAUGGGCGAAA